AACGUCGCAUCUCUUUUUGAGUCUCUACUUCUUCUCCCGCUUCUUACAACUGCAACAACAAAGGCUUUCCAUUCUUAAUUUCUGUUCUUUUCCAUUCACUGUUGUUUAAAUUUAUCUUCCUCAUUAAUGUCUGUUUCUUACUAUUUCCUUUCUCUUCCAUCUUUUUCUCCAUUCGUAGUGUACAGUAUUUCUGUGCCAGUCAUCGGGUCUUCUGCCAAAAUAAUUAAUGAAUCAAGAUUAAAGAAUACCGUUUCCCUGUGCCAGAUAAAGCCAUUGGGACUUCUGCAAUAAGAGAAUUAAAAGUUCCUGCAGAGUUUGCGGAUGAUCCUGAACUUUAAGUGCUAAAAGCCAAUAAAAUAUGUGGGAGUUGAAGCAUGGCAGGUAGAAGCUGGUUCAGUUUAUGACUACAUUUUGAUUUGUGAUGAUCCAGAGUAUGCAAAACAAGUAGUAGAAGAGUUAUCUGCGAAUAGGGAGAUGAGCUAUUGCUUGAGAGUUUUGUCGUCUCUUACCUCAAAGAAAAUGCUUAACCUGCAUCAUUUUUAUUAUGCUUGAAAUUUCAGAUUGAAAAAGAAGCCUUAGAGGAAGCAGAGAGAGAGAAGGGCUAGGGUAGAGGGGUUAUUAAAAACAAUGCUUAAAUGCUUUUGUCUCGAUGUAGUUUCACUGAGCAAUGCUCUUUUGAAUGUUCAGUUAUUGACCAUGUAAUUGAAUGAUUGUAUAAGAAGCUAAUAGAGCAAGAGAGGAUGGUGAACGGAGAAAGAGGGAGAGGGAUCGUCGGUAUGGAGAUAGAAGGUGCAGAAGAGUAGUCUUUUUGUUGAUUUUGUCUCAUCUACCUUAUCUGUGAAAUAUAUCUUUUGCAUAUAUUACUAGUU